UCCCCAUGAUUGGUCGGCUUACCCAAGAGGCCAGACUGCUCUCCGCCUCCCAGCCGACUCUCCCCCACCGCAGCUGGGCAAGUGUGCAACCUCACCCGCCUCUCCAUCGCAAAGCAUCUGGUGGAAACCUGCUUCCGGCACCCUUCCUUUUGUCAUCAGGACUUGCUAGAGGAGGAAGUGCUGGUGUUUUGAGCUCAAAUUCGACACAGCCUGGUGCCACACAGGCACCGACAAAUACACCCCUGCUGUUGCCUUCUCAGCUGGCACAUGCACCUCCACUCACGUCAGCUCCAGGAUCAGCUCCGUCACCCCUUGCCCCCUUUUCGUCCUCCCCGAAGCAAACCCCUCUUAGUUCCACCAACCAUCCUUUAUCCCUCGUAGCCACAUCUUCUGGUCUAGGGGUUCCUCAAAUCCAGCGAGUGAAACCAGGCACUGCAAUACCUACUCCUUCUUCAACUUCUCCUCCUCCUUACCUACGCCCUCUUUCUCCCUCUCAGUCCACCUCCACCUCUCCAACUUCAUCUUCUGGUACCUCUUUGGCUCAGAAUUCCCGGUCCAAACCCUCUCAGACACCUCCUUCCCCAUCCCCAUUAUCCUGCACCACCAACUCAACACCCACCAUCACUCCAUCUCAAAGCCCCACCCCAACUCGAACCCCAACCCCUGUUCAAACCCCUAUUCAGACCCCUACCCAAUCUAGAACACCAGCGGCCAUCCAAACCCAAUCCCAGGGUUGGUGUCCAACUGCCGUCCAGAUCCCAGCAGCUGCACAAACUCUGACCUCAACCUCCGUUCAGAGUCCGCUUCCCGCCCAGACUCCAAGUAAACCUAUCAGUUCCACCAUGGGUCAGAGCACUGCUGUCCAGAUGCCAGCCACUGUCCAGGUUCUUGGUUCUCCUUUGACUUGUUCUGCAGUCUCCAGUCAAACCCAAACCUCAAAUGCCAUACAGACUCAGAGCUCUUCCUGGAUCCCAGGCUCUCCCAUCAAUACCCCAGUCCAAAGUGGACCGUCAACCCCUGUU
ensembl:lncRNA